AAAUCUCUAAGAGCUCUGAAGACUUUCAAUGCAGUCCAUUUUUUGUUCGGAAACCAAACCCAAUCCAGAAACCAGAGGAGUACAACUUCUUGACAUUCAAUCGCAUCGCAUAUGGGGCUCCUGCUACACGAAGUUGUCUGCGAGCUCGCUGUUUGGAUUUAAUUUUUUGGAAACAAACAAACAAUGAGGAGAGCACAAUAAACCAAGACUCGGAUGAUGAGGGUCGCUAAGAAAAGUCGUGGCAUGCUGGCAAAUGAAGAGAAAUCCAAAUAAUAUACAGGCCAUUUGUGAGAUGCUUUCGAGUUCAAUUAAAAGAUGGCCCAUUGUGCGCUCAUUUAAAAUCAAUAAUCCCUCCGUGACACAUUUAAAAUCUCUAAGCAGUUUAGGGAUCUGCAAUCAAAAUUGUCCUCGAAUUAGUCUUAUAAAUAUUUAUUAUACAUGAUGCUAGAUAUUUGCUAGAACUGUGAUGGGAAUAUUUGGCAUCCAGUUCUUACGACUUUAAAAGUCAUACGCAUUGUUUGUGCAACAAUUUAUCACCGCCGGAGUCUCGGAUCACAUUAGAAGCACGCUUUGUUCGCCGAAUAUGGCAGAAAAUCCAAAGCCGGCAGCCAGCAGCCCCAUCAAUCACCGGCUGACAAGCCACCUAAAUACAAUAUAAAUAUAUUGAGCUGCCAGGGAGGUCAGUCGCAGUCCACAGUCGUUAUAAUCUUGGAAAGGCUAACCCCGCCGACUUAUCGCAUAUGUGCAUUACAUUAAGCUUAAUUAGUCUUUCAGAGAGUUGACUGGAGGAGAAAAUAUUAUUUAUACACAGGAACAACAAAAGAUCAAUAUUACCCAGACAUAUCCCCGAAUCAUAUUUAUUUCAUUGAUUUGAAUGGUUUUCGUUCACACAUUGCGUUCAAUGUAGUCUGGAGCUGUGGGAAAGCUCGGACUCUGAUUAAUGAAGCGUUGUAUUUGUGCAUAAAUUGCGGCACGUAUAAUAAAUUACGCCAAAUAAUAAAUUGUAAAUUAUGCAAAGCGAAA
rnacentral:sRNA from 1 species